GCUAUCGUGGUGUAGUGGUCAGCAUGCUCGACGCGUAACCGAGAGGUCCGUGGUUCGAUUCCCGGCGAAGGCG
rfam:Stegodyphus mimosarum contig88692, whole genome shotgun sequence.